AAAACACGGAUGAACGCUGGCGGCGUGCUUAACACAUGCAAGUCGAACGGGGAUACCUGAGUAGCAAUACGAAGGUAUUCUAGUGGCGGACGGGUGAGUAACGCGUGAGGAACCUGCCUUGGAGAGGGGAAUAACACACUGAAAAGUGUGCUAAUACCGCAUGAUAUAUCGAAGUCGCAUGGCUUUGAUAUCAAAGAUUUAUCGCUCUAAGAUGGCCUCGCGUCUGAUUAGCUAGUUGGUGGGGUAACGGCCCACCAAGGCGACGAUCAGUAGCCGGACUGAGAGGUUGACCGGCCACAUUGGGACUGAGAUACGGCCCAG
rnacentral:rRNA from 1 species